GCCGCUGUGGUGUAGUGGUUAGCAUACUGGACCGGCAAUCCAGAGACCCGUGGUUCGAGUCCCGGCUGCGAAGUGCC